UACGUAGGGACCAAGCGUUGUUCGGAUUUACUGGGCGUAAAGGGCGCGUAGGCGGCAAUUCAAGUCAUCUGUGAAAUCUCCGGGCUUAACCCGGAACGGUCAGAUGAUACUGCUUUGCUAGAGUGCGGAAGGGGCAAUCGGAAUUCUUGGUUUAGCGGUGAAAUGCGUAGAUAUCAAGAGGAACACCUGAGGUGAAGACGGGUUGCUGGGCCGACACUGACGCUGAUAGCGCGAAAGCCAGGGGAGCAAACGGG
rnacentral:rRNA from 1 species